rnacentral:misc_RNA from 1 species
AACCAUAGAAACCUGCGGAGUACCUGCGGAAGGAUCAUUAUUGAAUAUUCUUGAUGGGUUGUAGCUGGCUCUUCGGGGCAUGUGCACGCCUGUCUUGACUUUAUUCAUCCACCUGUGCACCUUUUGUAGUCUUGGGGGUUGAGAGCAGUCAAUAAUCGGAUGACCAUUGGUCAUUCCGGAUAUGAGGAAUGCUGAGUGCGAAAAGCAUAUGGCUCUUCUCAAAGUGACUUGUAACCCUCU